CUUUUCAACGAAUAACCGAUGUAAAACUAAAUGCACUCCCGCACGGGUCCUCACAAAAACUGUUGUUCAUACUGAUCCACGUAUUAAUGUAAUAUGUGCAUAAACAACCAAAAACUGGAAAUCAGCCAUUUGCUCAAAAUUUUAUAUAUAUUUAUUACAUUCACAAGCAUUCAUUGGAAACCGAACCAUUUACACCAGAACAUGGAGAAGCAGCAUCUAGAUUUGGUGCAAGACUCAAAGUAACCAUGCAAGCAGAGAAGCCAUGGCCGCAAUGAUGGCCGGUGCAGCCAUUGCAGCCCAACCAGUAGUGGCACUUACCAUCAUUGGCAACGGGGCAAUGCUAUCCAACUCUUCUGUUGUGGUGGCAGCUCCAGAGUUCAGGAGGGCUAGACUGAAGAUGCUCAAGAGCAUAACCAGACUCAGGCGCCCCAUUGGCUUACUUCGGGUAUUGGAGAACUACAAAGAAAAGGAGGUUUGCAUGGGGAUGCAUUCAGCUGC
rnacentral:lncRNA from 1 species